GACGAACGCUGGCGGCGUGCUUAACACAUGCAAGUCGAACGGUGAAGGAAGAGCUUGCUCUUCCGGAUCAGUGGCGAACGGGUGAGUAACACGUGGGCAACCUGCCCUGACUCUGGGAUAACUCCUCGAAAGAGGUGCUAAUACCGGAUACGACCACUUCGGACAUCCGAUGGUGGUGGAAAAGUUUUUCGGUCAGGGAUGGGCCCGCGGCCUAUCAGCUAGUUGGUGGGGUAAUGGGCCUACCAAGGCGACGACGGGUAGCCGGCCUGAGAGGGCGACCGGCCACACUGGGACUGAGACACGGCCCAGACUCCUACGGGAGCAGCAGUGGGAAUAUUGCGCAAUGGGCGAAAGCCUGACGCAGUG
rnacentral:rRNA from 1 species